GACGAACGCUGGCGGCGUGCUUAACACAUGCAAGUCGAACGGAAAGGCCCAGCUUGCUGGGUGCUCUAGUGUGGAAAGGGUGAGUAAAACGCGUGAGAUCUGCGCUCAAGUUUUUGGUAAGCCUAGAAAACUGGGGCGAUUAUCGGGGAUAGUCAACUGUCGCGCGGGGGGGGGGGUAGAGCGUUUGCGGUUGGGGGUGGGCACGCGGCUUAUCAGCUUGUUGGUGGGGUAGUGGCUUACCAAGGCGUUGACGGGUAGCCGCCCUGAGAGGGUGACCGGCCACAUUGGGACUGAGAUACGGCCCAGACUCCUACGGGAGGCAGCAGUGGGGAAUAUUGCACAAUGGGCGGAAGCCUGAUGCAGCAACGCCGCGUGCGGGAUGACGGCCUUCGGGUUGUAAACCGCUUUCGCCUGUGACGAAGCGUGAGUGACGGUAAUGGGUAAAGAAGCACCGGCUAACUACGUG
rnacentral:rRNA from 1 species